AAGUGGCCCCAGGAAGGGCAAGUCUCAAGCUUGCCCAUUGUGGGCAGAAGGAUCCUCCUCGGAUCGUCACUGAUGAUUUGUACACAUGGGAGAAAAGGACCUUAGGAAAAAGCAUGACUAUUGUUAACAGUGAUUUGCAGAGUGUUCUGAUGUAGCUAUAAGUGGCUGAAGCAAAGCUGGCUCUCUGAGCCUGUUUGUGUACAGGGUUUGAAAGAAGAACACAAGACGUAAAUGAAGAUUUAAGAACAGAUUCUGUGAUUACACUUCAAUUGCUAGUGAAUCAGCUGGUCUCAGUUCAGAUUUGUGCAAAUCCAAGAUGACUCUUCUGGUUGCAUCUGCAUAGCUCUUUUCCCUUUGCUCCUCACGAGGUCAUUGCUGGCUUGUUAAACUCACCAGAGAAGCUGCAUCGUGACCUUUACAAGCUGGCAUGAUCUCCUGUAAUCCCAAAUUCUACAU